UAUAAAUAAGGCCGAAUUGUGACUUCCACUU
rnacentral:piRNA from 1 species